AGUCAAUAGAUACCCGGGUAGUCCACGCCGUAAACGAUGAGUACUAGGUGUAGGAGGUGUCGACUCCUUCUGUGCCGCAGUUAAACACAAUAAGUACUCCGCCUGGGAAGUACGGUCGCAAGAUUAAAACUCAAAGGAAUUGACGGGGGCCCGCACAAGCAGCGGAGCAUGUGGUUUAAUUCGAAGCAACGCGAAGAACCUUACCUAGACUUGACAUCUCCUGAAUAGCGCAGAGAUGCGUGAAGCCCUUCGGGGUCGAGGAAGACAGGUGGUGCAUGGUUGUCGUCAGCUCGUGUCGUGAGAUGUUGGGUUAAGUCCCGCAACGAGCGUAACCCCUACUUAUUAGUUGCUACCAUUAAGUUGAGCACUCUAAUGAGACUGCCCGGGUUAACCGGGUAGGAAGGCGGGGAUGACGUCAAAUCAUCAUGCCCCUUAUGUCUAGGGCUACACACGUGCUACAAUGGUGAGAACAACGAGAUGCAAUACCGCGAGGUGGAGCAAAACUUGAAAACUCAUCUCAGUUCGGAUUGUAGGCU
rnacentral:rRNA from 1 species